rnacentral:rRNA from 1 species
AUUGAACGCUGGCGGCAGGCCUAACACAUGCAAGUCGAGCGAGCGGCGGACGGGUGAGUAAUGUCUGGGAAACUGCCUGAUGGAGGGGGAUAACUACUGGAAACGGUAGCUAAUACCGCAUACCAUCAGAUGUGCCCCGAUGGGCUUAGCUAGUAGGUGGGGUAAUGGCUCACCUAGGCGACGAUCCCUAGCUGGUCUGAGAGGAUUGACAGCCACACUUGAACUGAGACACGGUCCAGACUCCUACGGGAGGCAGCAGGUGGGAAUAUUGCACAAUGGGCGCAAGCCUGAUGCGGCCAAGCCGCGUGUGUGAAGAAGGCCUUCGGGUUGUAAAGCACUUACAGCGGGGAGGCGUUACCCGCAGAAGAAGCACCGGCUAACUCCGUGCCAGCAGCCGCGGUAAUUC